AUUACCGCGGCUGCUGGCACGUAGUUAGCCGGGGCUUCCUCCAGAGGUACUGUCAUUUUUUUCAUCCCUCUAGACAGAAGUUUACGACCCGAAGGCCUUCAUCCUUCACGCGGCAUUGCUGCGUCAGGGUUUCCCCCAUUGCGCAAUAUCCCCCACUGCUGCCUCCCGUAGG
rnacentral:rRNA from 1 species